UACAGAGGGUGCAAACGUUGCUCGGAAUCAUUGGGCGUAAAGCGCGUGUAGGCGGCAAGUUAAGUUAAAUGUGAAAGCCCUUGGCUCAACCAAGGAAGUGCAUUUAAUACUGGCUUGCUAGAGUGUUGGAGAGGAUGGCGGAACUCCCAGUGUAGAGGUGAAAUUCGUAGAUAUUGGGAAGAACACCGGUGGCGAAGGCGGCCAUCUGGACGACAACUGACGCUGAGACGCGAAAGCGUGGGGAUCAAACAGG
rnacentral:rRNA from 1 species